CGUGACGUCAAGUCCUCAUGGCCCUUACAUCCCGGGCUACACACGUGCUACAAUGGCAGGUACAGAGGGCUGCGAAGCCGCGAGGUGGAGCGAAUCCCAGAAAACCUGUCUCAGUCCGGAUUGAAGUCUGCAACUCGACUUCAUGAAGGCGGAAUCGCUAGUAACCGCGAAUCAGCAGGUCGCGGUGAAUACGUUCCCGGGCCUU
rnacentral:rRNA from 1 species